UCCUUUGAUGACAGACACUACAACAUGUGCAGAUGACAGCCACACAACUGGACAUAUUUCAGUAAAUAAACCGACAGUGCGAUAACAUGCAGGAAUUGGGUGUCAUUUAACUUCUCGAAGGAAUGUGUUUGGACCAUUACAUCCAGUCAUCAGAAGCAGAGCUGUGGGACGUGUGGACAGACAUUGGCUGUAAUGAUGGACUUCUGCUGAUGGACAGACAGACUCCAGCUUCUCUACAUAGGACAAGUGUUUGGAGAAUCCUGGAUGGAGAGCAGGCAUGUGUGCAUGAAACCAGAGACCAGAUUAAUGUGUUCAUGUACCCCACCUUGUGGACACUAAGUGUAUCUGCAUUAAUAUAUGAAAACAGCAUGAAGAGGAAAGAGAUUUAAAAAAAAGUCCCUAAUCCUGCUCCUGACGAGCCACUUUCCUGAGUUUAUCUCCAACCCUGUAAAAAAACGCUCUAGCAGCUGAACAAUAAAUUGUUGUUUUAAUGAAUGCUGUUGCUAAACUAAAAAAACAACCACAAUGAACCAUAUCAAACAUCACAAAUGCCGUGGCUCAGUGGCUAAUCAUUUGUCUUUCAUUCAGUUCUUGGUCCAAAUCCCACAGUUGCUAAUAUUUUUAUCACAGAAAACAAAGCCCUCAAUAAACUCAAAAGAGUUCAAUAAAUAAAUGGUUGCGUUUGAAUCUUAGAUUGCCUAUGUUAAAAUGCAUAUCCAACAAACUGCACCAAACAACAGAUGAUAUUGUGAAAGCCACGAUGGUGCAGUGGUUAAACACAACACAUUUUCCAACUCUUCCUAAUCAAUCACACCUGAAUCGACUCAUCAGCUCGUUAGUAGAGACUCCAAAACCAGACAUAUAUGGGUCAGAUAAGAAAGACGUCGAGGGUGUGCAAUGUUGGUGUGGCUCUUGGAACAGGGAUCUCUUGGUUUGAGCUGCUGGAGGUCAUGAGGAAAAGCAGUGAGUGACUUUGCAUGGAGUAUUUUGAGAGGAGCAACCGCCGAACUGUUAUGCAUCUGAGCCUUUUCCUGACUCAACCUGUUUCUGUUUUGAACUGGCAUGUUUUUGACAAUGAUCUACUCCAGUUUGUGUCCAAUAAAAUGGUAAAUGUGA